rnacentral:rRNA from 1 species
GAUGAACGCUAGCGACAGGCUUAACACAUGCAAGUCGCGGGGCAGCGGGGUGAAGCUUGCUUCACCUGCCGGCGACCGGCGCACGGGUGAGUAACACGUAUGCAAUCUGCCCUUCACAGCGGGAUAAUCGGGAGAAAUUCCGUCUAAUACCACAUAACACCCCCGGGGGACAUCCCCCGAGGGUCAAAGGAGCGAUCCGGUGAAGGAUGAGCAUGCGGCGCAUUAGCUAGUUGGUGGGGUAACGGCCUACCAAGGCGAUGAUCAGUAGCCGGUCUGAGAGGAUGAACGGCCACAUUGGGACUGAGACACGGCCCGG